rnacentral:lncRNA from 1 species
CACCUGGUUUGUUCUUCAUUUUGCAAAUAGGAUACACCUGAAAAAUGGAGUAUUUAAGGAGCCUGUGAUCCAUUAUUCAUAAACCCAAACCCGCUUGUGCUGGAGUCUGGUAAGUCCAAGCAGCCUGGUGUGUUUCAUGCAAAUGCCUGCAGACUUAGGCCAGCUUGUGACUACAAGCAAGUUGAUUGGUAUCUUCAUCUCUUCAUGGUGCAGCAGCAAUGACUGCCUUUCUGUCUUUCACCCAUAGCUCUGUUUUGGUGGUUACACCUGGGACUUCUUAGAAAGUCAUGUGGCACCGUACCAAUUGGUUUUCUUUAAACCUUGUAUUUGUUUCAUGUUUUACUAUUCUUUUGUUAUUGCUUCUGUGUGUCUAUCCAGCUGGGCACUAUGGUCUGGAGGAGGAGGUGGUGUGCAGGAGCAGUGAGGACCAAAAGAACUUGGUUUGCAGCAGAAUGUCUCUUCAAGCCAGUGGACAAGUUGAGGAGGAAUUAAACCAGAAAAAGAGGAGAGAGGGAUUCUAAAGAUCUGAUUUCUUCAGAUGCAUACAUUUCUGCAUCAGUAAAGACAAGAGUGAUUUUUGGAUCUUCUGAUUAUUUCAUCACAGUUGAAUCUCUAAGUGACAUGGAUUCCUCUCUGGAGCUGUCUGCUUCUUGCCAUGCACUGAGUAUGCUUAGACAAUUAAAGUUUGGCAAAAGGAACUUCUCCUUCAAUAUUCCUAAUUUUUCCCUCAGAGUAACAAGCCUACAGUUUUCCUAAGUGAAACUGUCAGUCUGAAUCUUGUCCCCAAUGUGUUUCUUAAUUACACCAUAGCUGUUAAGCUGUAGUGAUGUUCCUUGCGGAAUGGUCUGAAAUUAAAGCUAAGAAUAAACUCAGAUAGCUUGCUGAAGCA